rnacentral:rRNA from 1 species
AUUGAACGCUGGCGGCAGGCUUAACACAUGCAAGUCGAGCGAGCGGCGGAAGGGUGAGUAAUGUCUGGGAAACUGCCUGAUGGAGGGGGAUAACUACUGAAAACGGUAGCUAAUACCGCAUACCAUCAAUUGUGCCCAUAUGGGAUUAGCUAGUAGGUGGGGUAAUGUCUCACAUAGGCGACGAUCCCUAGCUGGUCUGAGAGGAUGACCAGCCACACUGGAACUGAGACACGGUCCAGACUCCUACGGUAGGCAGCAGUGGGGAAUAUUGCACAAUGGGCGCAAGCCUGAUGCAGCCAUGCCGCGUGUGUGAAGAAGGCCUUCGGGUUGUAAAGCACUUUCAGCGAGGAGGCGUUACUCGCAGAAGAAGCACCGGCUAACUCCGUGCCAGCCGCCGCGGUAAUAC